rnacentral:rRNA from 1 species
ACGGGUGAGUAACACGUGAGCAAUCUGCCCCUGACUCUGGGAUAAGCGCUGGAAACGGCGUCUAAUACCGGAUACGAGCUGCGAAGGCAUCUUCAGCAGCUGGAAAGAAUUUCGGUCAGGGAUGAGCUCGCGGCCUAUCAGCUUGUUGGUGAGGUAACGGCUCACCAAGGCGUCGACGGGUAGCCGGCCUGAGAGGGUGACCGGCCACACUGGGACUGAGACACGGCCCAGACUCCUACGGGAGGCAGCAGUGGGGAAUAUUGCACAAUGGGCGAAAGCCUGAUGCAGCAACGCCGCGUGAGGGACGACGGCCUUCGGGUUGUAAACCUCUUUUAGCAGGGAAGAAGCGAAAGUGACGGUACCUGCAGAAAAAGCACCGGCUAACUACGUGCCAGCAGCCGCGGUAAUACGUAGGGUGCAAGCGUUAUCCGGAAUUAUUGGGCGUAAAGAGCUCGUAGGCGGUUUGUCGCGUCUGCUGUGAAAACCCGAGGCUCAACCUCGGGCCUGCAGUGGGUACGGGCAGACUAGAGUGCGGUAGGGGAGAUUGGAAUUCCUGGUGUAGCGGUGGAAUGCGCAGAUAUCAGGAGGAACACCGAUGGCGAAGGCAGAUCUCUGGGCCGUAACUGACGCUGAGGAGCGAAAGGGUGGGGAGCAAACAGGCUUAGAUAC